rnacentral:misc_RNA from 1 species
AGUAAAAAUAAAACGAAGGACACUCUAACGUCGUAUGUGACAUCACCCCGUGAAGCGCCUAUCGCCUCCCCUCCCACGCUCGAUCGAUAUUCCUUCCUCUCCCCUGGGUGUGCUUCUUUUCUUUUAUACGUGUGAUCCUUUUUCGUUGUUGCUUUCAGUUGCUAACUCGGCGUUCUGGCGUUUGCCUGCUGUGCCAUACCUCCACGACAUCGUGGUUGCUUCUCACCACUCACCACGUCCCUUGCACUAAAUCUUCACUGCACCCCACCCACCUCUCUCCCCCUCGCUGUCCUUCUCCCUUUCCAUCGCGCCAUUUGGCGAAGACAAAAAGAUGCCCGCAAACUCGUGGGCUUCCUCUCGCGAUGUGUUCCCUGAGUCGGUCCGCGCGUUGAUGUCGCUGUGGGGAGGGUUUUCGAACCCCACCAGUUACAGCGACAGCGGACUCGAGAAGCGUCUCGAGUUCGACUUCGCCGCCGCCGUGGAUGUGCGAACGUUCACGGUGGAGGAGCUUGAGGACGUGCUGGCGGCAGCUGGGCAGAGGCUGCAGCACCACUCCUCUGCAGAUGGUCUGCUAUCGCUAGAGAUGACGCAGUGCAUUAUCAUUUUGACACCGUGCAAGCUGGUGGUGACAUCCGCGUCUGAGGUGAUGCUGCACCAGGUGAUCACCCCCACCAUCGCCCUUCUCACAUCGAAGGGCGUGCGUGUGGAGUGGGCCUCGUACCUGCGCAAGAACAUCACCUCGCCAUGGUGCGCCGAGAGCGAGAUGAGCGACAUCAUGGCGCAGGAGUACGCGGAGCUCAAGGCCGCCUUCCCGGCCGGCAAGUCCUUCCUGACGGGCCCGGUGGAUGGUCAUCACUGCUUCAAUUUCGUGUACGACAACGUUGAAAGGAUGGCGGGGCGUAAGGAGGAGGACGUGCAGGUGAACGUGUUCCUCUACGACGUCGCUGCGGGUCUGGAGGAGGUGGACAAGACAACGCAGCGUUUCCACGCGCUGCAAAGUGGCGAGUACGAAGUGAUGCGCACCUUCGCUGGUGUGCCGUGCAUUUCCUUCGAGACCAACGCCAAGGCUGCUGUAGCGUCUCCGACGCGCGUGCAGAAGCUCCUCGACACCUUUCAGCCUGCCCACUUCACGGUUGCCGCCCUCCAGGACAGAGACGCCGACGGGUUAGCGCUGCGUCGCAACUUCAACUCCUUCACCCCCUACACGCUGCAGAACCGAACGGUGAACUUAUUUGGUGAAGGAUACGCCUUCCACCAACUGCUGUUCGCCCGCAGCGCAGAUUAAGAGAGUGGGAAAGGAGGAGGAACUUUACACAGCAUAAAGAAGGGCUCAGGGUGCGAAAGACGGAGAGACAGCCCAGAUCUGUACUUCAUCGAUGGCCGCGUGUGCUGUGACUCCUCUGCUGAGCUUAACGUUCACCACACACCUCCCCUCCACCCUGCUCGCACAGAGACGAUAUGCAUGCACAGCUGCCAGUUGUGCUCUUCGCGGCACGCGUGCGCCUUCUCUCGCGCGCUCCUCCUCCUCCUCCUCCCUCCUCCCUCCCCCCUCUCCGCAUACGUGCCUACAUGUAUCUUUGCUGACUCUCCGCACCGUUGAUCAGCGAAUAGGUGUUUUUUUUGUCCGUUCCUUUUUUUUUCUGAUACUUGACACCAUUUUCAGCUCUUCGUUUAUUCGUUAUCCCCCCUCCACCCGUUUCUCCAUGGACGCACUUUGAGAUGCGCCUCUGUUGUUUCCGUCACCCAGGCACGCGCACCCACACGAACGUACAUUGAUUUACGGACGUGCGAUCUCGGAAACUGCUGCACCAGCUCUCACCGACUCCGUGUCUUGCUCCUCAGGAGAAGAGACUUUCCCUGUCUUCUCGCCCUCAUAUGAAUUUGAAGCCCCCGAUGACGGGAGGCACGCCGCAGCGCGUGGCAUCCUCAUGGCCCCGGGCCGCCCCUCCCCCCUAUCCCCCUAUCCCUAUCCCUGCCAGUGCCGAGCCGCCUCGGGUGGUGACAGGGGCACCUACGGCGUGGGAAAGUCAGAGCGAUGCAUGGCUGCUGAUGCCGGUGCUCAGGUCGUAGAUGGCGUUGCGUCGGAGCGACCUGCGGCAGCGAGCGCGUUUGCACCACCCACAUGAUGGGCAGGGUGUCAGCGUGACCCAAGCGUGUCUCGCCCGGCCCUCGCUGCUUACUGGGGGAGAGCUUGGAGCGCCACCCCGAGGGAGAUGCACCGGCGGGGCGGCCGGCAUGAUGGGAGCGGCUGUGAGGUAACCUGCGAGGCAGAGGUGGGUAGAGUACGAGGCAGGGCCCGUGCGCAGGUGGCCGAGCCGGUGCGCUGCCGUAAUGCACGUGCCGGCCGCUGCGUUGCACCGGGCGACGGGGCCUGUGACGUGCCCGGGGGUGUCUGAAGAGGAGCUGAGCUCGUGCUCUGUGGCAGAACGGACUUGCUGAAACGAACAGCUCGGUCGAGGUUGAGACAAAGUUGAGCACAAAUGAUGUAUUUCACACGUAAGAGGACGGCGAUGCCGGGGCGAAGACGAGUUGGGAUUGCGUGCGGGGCCGUGUGAGUGGAAAGGGAAAGCUAAGUUGAACUUGCGAAACUGAACUCUUAGCUUUUCUUGUACCUGUUCUGCACAAGUGUCAAGUGACGCGGUGAAGCGCUUGGGCCCCCGCCCCGCCUUCGCACACAUUUUUCGAAGCGUUCAUCUGUGCAUUAUUCCCUGUUGAAACACUUUUUUUUUUUCACCGGUGUUUACGCAUGCCGGUAAACGCGGCGAGAACCAUAG